rnacentral:misc_RNA from 1 species
GAUGAAGAACGUAGCGAAAUGCGAUAAGUAAUGUGAAUUGCAGAAUUCAGUGAAUCAUCGAAUCUUUGAACGCACAUUGCGCCCGCCAGUAUUCUGGCGGGCAUGCCUGUUCGAGCGUCAUUUCAACCAUCAAGCCCCCGGGCUUGUGUUGGGGACCCGCGGCUGCCGCAGGCCCUGAAAAGCAGUGGCGGGCUCGCUGUCACACCGAGCGUAGUAGCAUACAUCUCGCUCUGGGCGUGCUGCGGGUUCCGGCCGUUAAACCACCUUUUAACCCAAGGUUGACCUCGGAUCAGGUAGGAAGACCCGCUGAACUUAAGCAUAUCAAUAAGCGGAGGA